rnacentral:tRNA from 1 species
CGCGUGCUAAAAAGCCGCUGGUUAGAGCACGGGGAUCAUAAUCCUGGGGUCGGGGGUUCGAGUCCCUCCCCCGCUACCA